AUACGGAGGAUGCGAGCGUUAUCCGGAUUUAUUGGGUUUAAAGGAUGCGUAGGCUGUGCGUUAAGUCAGGGGUGAAAUGCCGUCGCUCAACGACGGAGCUGCCCUUGAUACUGGCGUGCUGGAGUACGGAUGCCGUUGGAGGAAUGAGUGGUGUAGCGGUGAAAUGCUUAGAUAUCACUCAGAACACCGAUUGCGAAGGCAUCUGACGAAUCCGUCACUGACGCUGAGGCACGAAAGCGUGGGGAUAGAACAGGAUUAGAUACCCUGGUAUUCCACGCCGUAAACGAUGAUGACUAACCGUCGGCGAUAGACAGCCGGUGGCCAAGCGAAAGCGAUAAGUCAUCCACCUGGGGAGUACGUCGGCAACGAUGAAACUCAAAUGAAUUGACGGGG
rnacentral:rRNA from 1 species